AACAGGAUUAGAUACCCUGGUAGUCCACGCCGUAAACGAUGUCAACUAGCCGUUGGGAUCCUUGAGAUCUUAGUGGCGCAGCUAACGCAUUAAGUUGACCGCCUGGGGAGUACGGCCGCAAGGUUAAAACUCAAAUGAAUUGACGGGGGCCCGCACAAGCGGUGGAGCAUGUGGUUUAAUUCGACGCAACGCGAAGAACCUUACCUACUCUUGACAUCCACGGAAUUCGGCAGAGAUGCCUUAGUGCCUUCGGGAACCGUGAGACAGGUGCUGCAUGGCUGUCGUCAGCUCGUGUUGUGAAAUGUUGGGUUAAGUCCCGCAACGAGCGCAACCCUUAUCCUUUGUUGCCAGCGAUUCGGUCGGGAACUCAAAGGAGACUGCCGGUGAUAAACCGGAGGAAGGUGGGGAUGACGUCAAGUCAUCAUGGCCCUUACGAGUAGGGCUACACACGUGCUACAAUGGCGCAUACAAAGAGAAGCGACCUCGCGAGAGCAAGCGGACCUCAUAAAGUGCGUCGUAGUCCGGAUCGGAGUCUGCAACUCGACUCCGUGAAAUCGGAAUCGCUAGUAAUCGUGGAUCAGAAUGCCACGGUGAAUACGUUCCCGGGCCUUGUACACACCGCCCGUCACACCAUGGGAGUGGGUUGCAAAAGAAGUAGGUAGCUUAACCUUCGGGAGGGCGCUUACCACUUUGUGAUUCAUGACUGGGGUGAAGUCGUAACAAGGUA
rnacentral:rRNA from 1 species